GAUGAAGAACGUAGCGAAAUGCGAUAAGUAAUGUGAAUUGCAGAAUUCAGUGAAUCAUCGAAUCUUUGAACGCACAUUGCGCCCGCCAGUAUUCUGGCGGGCAUGCCUGUUCGAGCGUCAUUUCAACCAUCAAGUCCCCGGCUUGUGUUGGGGACCUGCGGCUGCCGCAGGCCCUGAAAAGCAGUGGCGGGCUCGCUGUCACACCGAGCGUAGUAGCAUACAUCUCGCUCUGGGCGUGCUGCGGGUUCCGGCCGUUAAACCACCUUCAUAACCCAAGGUUGACCUCGGAUCAGGUAGGAAGACCCGCUGAACUUAAGCAUAUCAAUAAGCGGAGGA
rnacentral:misc_RNA from 1 species